CUGAACAUUAUCUGGUAAUUUAUCUUUCCGAUAUAUUUUAUUGGGACUGAGAUUAUUUCUGUCUGUAACUCGGAAAACAUUUGCUAUUGUAUUCAGACACCAACAGCCGUGAAAUGGUGAAGAACCAAGCAAAGUUAAAGGCUGAAAAUGAUGGACAAUUAAAAUGGGAUUCGACUCUAACAAUGCGAACUCAACGAAGUCUGGCCCCUGUUAAGGGUUCUAAAAAAUCACCAGUUACGCUAACCGAAAGCAAAGGAUUACUGCAAUUGUGUCUCUGUGAAGGUUUGAAGUCAGGACUACGUAUGGGAAAAUAGACGUCGUAACGCAUAUCAGUCAUUCUUGAUACGAGAAGUAUGUGACUUGCAGCACUGGAAUGUGCUCGGUGCAGACACAAAAGGUGAGCGAACGGACAGCGGCUAAUGAAGAAGGGCUGCGUUAUUCGAAGCACAAGAAACCAGCAUGAAUGAUGAAGCUACUUGUGGAGGUGCUAACCUACCCGUCGAAUAUCGCGGAUAAGUGCAUCACGUCGUUUACAUUCCAACCUG